UACGGGGGGAGCAAGCGUUGUUCGGAUUUACUGGGCGUAAAGGGCGCGUAGGCGGUCGUGACAAGUCACUUGUGAAAUCUCCGGGCUUAACUCGGAACGGUCAAGUGAUACUGUCGGACUAGAGUACAGAAGGGGCAACUGGAAUUCUCGGUGUAGAGGUGAAAUUCGUAGAUAUGGGGAGGAACACCGGUGGCGAAGGCGGCCAUCUGGACGGUAACUGACGCUGAGACGCGAAAGCGUGGGGAGCAAACAGG
rnacentral:rRNA from 1 species